rnacentral:hammerhead_ribozyme from 1 species
AUCUAGCUGACGAGCCCCAAAUAGGACUAAAUGCGCAGUCUCCUGGAU